UGUAUCUGAAAUCAAGCAGGAUCACCCGCUGAACUUAAGCAUAUCACUAAGCGGAGGAGAAGAAAUUAACUAAGAUUGCCUCAGUAACGGCGAGUGAAGCGGCAAAAGCCCAAACCGUAAAUCUUGUGCACUACGUGUACACGAAUUGUAAUCUAGAGAGAGUUCACUCAACGGGCGGGGGCGCAGAAGUGACCACGAACGGUCCGCCAGAGAGGGUGAAAGCCCCGUAUGUGGUGUCCCUGCUUAACGAGUGGGUUUUCGAAGAGUCGGGUUGUUUUGUAUUGCAGCCCUAAGUGGGAGAUAAACUUCUUCUAAGGCUAAAUAUUAAUAGGAAACCCGAUAGCGAACAAGUACUGUGAAGGAAAGAUGAAAAGAACUUUGAAAAGAGAGUCAAAAGACUUGAAAUCGUUGAGAAGGAAGGGGUAGAAAUUUAUUCUUCGGUGCAUGCAGAGUUUAGUCGCCUAACCAUUGCGGGCUAAGGAUACGUCAAAGGUCCUGGUUUGUACCUGGGGAAGUGACUGGGUGAGUGUGCAUCGUGAGCCAAGAUGGGGUCGGACAGCCACAAAGGCUCUGUACAACCGGUUUCCUUCGGGAGGCAGUGUGCGGAUGUCGGUGGAGGUUCGGCCUGAGGAAGCUUCGGCGAUCUUGGCAAAAUGGUUUUUACCCACCCGUCUUGAAACACGGACCAAGGAGUCUAACAUGUAUGCGAGUGUGCUAGUGGAAAAACUAACACGCGUAAUGAAGGUGAUUGAUGCCAAGCGCAAGCAGCAGCAUCGACCGACCAUGAUCCUCUGGUGAAAGGUUUGAGUACGAGCAUAAAUGUUAGGACCCGAAAGAUGGUGAACUAUGCCUGAGUAGGGUGAAGCCAGGGGAAACUCUGGUGGAGGCUCGUAGCGGUUCUGACGUGCAAAUCGAUCGUCGAACUUGGGUAUAGGGGCGAAAGACUAAUCGAACCAUCUAGUAGCUGGUUCCCUCCGAAGUUUCCCUCAGGAUAGCUGGGACAAAUACGCAGUUUUAUUAGGUAAAGCGAAUGAUUAGAGGCCUCGGGGAUGCAAUGUCCUCGACCUAUUCUCAAACUUUAAAUUGGUAAGAACCCUGGCCUUUCUUAAUUGAGGCAUGGGGGCUCAAUGCGUGUCCCAAGUGGGCCAUUUUUGGUAAGCAGAACUGGCGAUGAGGGAUGCUCCUAACGUCGAGUUAAGGUGCCCAACUGCACGCUCAUCAAAUACUACAAAGGGUGUUGGUUCAUCCAGACAGCAGGACGGUGGCCAUGGAAGUCGGAACCCGCUAAGGAGUGUGUAACAACUCACCUGCCGAAUGGACUAGCCCCGAAAAUGGAUGGCGCUAAAGCGUGCGACCGAUACUCGACCAUU
rnacentral:rRNA from 1 species